GUUCAGGGGCGGGAAUCGAACCCACGACCUUCCGCUUACCGGGAAGAUGCCAUGUCCACUAGGCUACCCUGGA